rnacentral:rRNA from 1 species
UUAUCCGGGCUACACGCGGGCUACAAUGGUCAGGACAAUGGGUAUCGACACCGAGAGGUGGAGGCAAUCUCCUAAACCUGUCCUUAGUUCGGAUUGUGGGCUGCAACUCGCCCACAUGAAGCUGGAAUCCGUAGUAAUCGCGUUUCAAAAUAGCGCGGUGAAUAUGUCCCUGCUCCUU